GAGUUUGAUCGUGGCUCAGGACGAACGCUGGCGGCGUGCCUAAUACAUGCAAGUCGAGCGAGUCUCUUCGGAGGCUAGCGACGGACGGGUGAGUAACACGUAGGCAACCUGCCUCUCAGACCGGGAUAACAUAGGGGAAACUUAUGCUGAUACCGGAUAGGUUUUUGGAUUGCAUGAUCCGAAAGAAAAGAUGGCUUUUCGUCAUCACUGGGAGAUGGGCCGUGCGGCGCAUUAGCUAGUUGGUGGGUAACGGCCGUACCAAGGCGACGAUGCGUAGCCGACCUGAGAGGGUGACCGGCCACACUGGGACGUGAGACACGGCCCAGACUCCUACGGGAGGCAGCAGUAGGGGAAUUUUCCACAAUGGACGAAAGUCUGAUGGAGCAACGCCGCGUGAACGAUGAAGGUCUUCGA
rnacentral:rRNA from 1 species